UGCUGGUUUGUUUUAUUUAUUUAUUUUAUUUUUUUAUUUUUUUUAUUUUUUCUGUUUCUUUUUAGGGUCUGUUAAGUUGAUUCCUCCUUCCCGUGCCCUGGGAGCCGCGGUUAAUGAGUAACCACAGCGAGCUCCGGGGCAGCUGCCUCGCACAAACCGAGCGAGGCUUUUUUGGAGCUGCAUAAGGGAGCGUUUGUUCUGCAGCCUCUCAAUGGGUCCUUGUGCGGGAGGCAAGGAGUGUGGGGAGAGAAAGAGAGAGACACUAAAUCACUGCCCUCCUCCUCCUCCGAGGAGAGCUCGCAGCUCAGCCCGUGUGGCUGCUGGUGCCUUUGCUCAGAGAUGGGGGCUCAGUCACCUUGGUGGACUCAGAGAAUGGAUUUAUCUCCCCAGACAAGCACUUUUUAGCUUCAAGGCUACUUUAAGUGGCUUAAGGAUCAAACACUGAGCUCGUCCAGAUGCUGGCGUGGCAGGAAUUGGGAUUUUCUGCGUCUCUGUCCCACUGAGGAGCAGGUUUCGACAUUCCUGCGGGGACAGCUCCCGUCGGCCCCAGGAGCUGCUGGAACCUCCUUGUGCCAGCGGUGGGGACACCAGGACAGGAGUGGCACUUGUCCCCUCUGCCGGGGAAAGGCUCCCGAGCCAGGGUUUGGCCCUGGCUGGUUCCUCUGCGCUGGGAUCCCGAGCCCCGAGCCUCGCCUGGCGUUUGGAUGCUCCCUUCUGUCUGCAGCUGGGAAUGGCACGGCCGUGCCUCCUGCUGCUCCCAGAUCCCGUGGAUUUACUGCUGUUGGCACCGUCCUGCUGGGACGGCCUCUGGCUCCAGCACAGGGAAUCUCCCGAGGGACUGAUGGGGAAAAGCAGCACUUGCUACAGCCUGAGGCUACAAUUCCCUCUUUUCCUGGGCUACUCCGAGCAUCCUGGCUCUGCAGGAGGAAGGAUUCAAUGCACUCCUGGAGGACAAAUCCUGCUGCUCUAAUGCCUCACCAUCGAUUCCGUGCCUCAAGCCCUGCCCUGCUCGAUGCUCCUGGAGGGUUUUUGGUGCCAGUCUCCAGAAG
rnacentral:lncRNA from 1 species